rnacentral:other from 1 species
CGUGGGACGCUAGUUGUGAACAAGGUGUGAAGAGCCUAUUGAGCUACUCAAGAGUCCUCCGGCCCCUGAAUGCGGCUAAUCCUAACCACGGAGCAAUCGCUCACGACCCAGUGAGUAGGUUGUCGUAAUGCGUAAGUCUGUGGCGGAACCGACUACUUUGGGUGUCCGUGUUUCCCUUUAUAUUCAUACUGGCUGCUUAUGGUGACAAUUUACGAAUUGUUACCAUAUAGCUAUUGGAUUGGCCACCCAGUG